GCCCAAGUGGUGAAAUGGUAUACACGCAUGAUUUAGGAUCAUGUGCCCGUAAGGGCGUGGAGGUUCAAGUCCUCUCUUGGGCA
rnacentral:tRNA from 4 species